rnacentral:rRNA from 1 species
AGCGAACGCUGGCGGCAGGCUUAACACAUGCAAGUCGAGCGGGCACUUCGGUGUCAGCGGCAGACGGGUGAGUAACACGUGGGAACGUACCCUUCGGUUCGGAAUAACGCUGGGAAACUAGCGCUAAUACCGGAUACGCCCUUUUGGGGAAAGGUUUACUGCCGAAGGAUCGGCCCGCGUCUGAUUAGCUAGUUGGUGGGGUAAUGGCCUACCAAGGCGACGAUCAGUAGCUGGCCUGAGAGGAUGAUCAGCCACACUGGGACUGAGACACGGCCCAGACUCCUACGGGAAGCAGCAGUGGGGAAUAUUGGACAAUGGGCGCAAGCCUGAUCCAGCCAUGCCGCGUGAGUGAUGAAGGCCUUAGGGUUGUAAAGCUCUUUUGUCCGGGACGAUAAUGACGGUACCGGAAGAAUAAGCCCCGGCUAACUUCGUG